UACGAAGGGUGCAAGCGUUACUCGGAAUUACUGGGCGUAAAGCGUGCGUAGGUGGUUUGUUAAGUCUGAUGUGAAAGCCCUGGGCUCAACCUGGGAAUUGCAUUGGAUACUGGCAGGCUAGAGUACGGUAGAGGAUGGCGGAAUUCCCGGUGUAGCAGUGAAAUGCGUAGAGAUCGGGAGGAACAUCUGUGGCGAAGGCGGCCAUCUGGACCAGCACUGACACUGAGGCACGAAAGCGUGGGGAGCAAACAGG
rnacentral:rRNA from 1 species